rnacentral:sRNA from 1 species
AGUGGCUGUGACGGUGAGUGCCACACAGAGCUGCCCACACUGGUGGAGGGAAGGCAGGGAGAUACCAGGACCAUCCAGAAGGGGCUGAGUGUCAUUUGACAGGUGCCUUGUGAGCAGAGAUGUGAAGGAGUGGCCCGGGACAAUCAGGGCAGAAUCCCUGAGGUGUCCCUGGCCAGUGUCCUUCCACCUGUCCACAAGCAUGGGGAACAUCUUCGCCAACCUCUUCAAGGGCCUUUUUGGCAAAAAAGAAAUGCGCAUCCUCAUGGUGGGCCUGGAUGCUGCAGGGAAGACCACGAUCCUCUACAAGCUUAAGCUGGGUGAGAUCGUGACCACCAUUCCCACCAUAGGUGAGGUGGGGGCCAGCAGGGAGUGGGCUGGGCUGGCCUGGGCCAAGGUACAAGGCCUCACCCUGCAUCCCGCACCCAGGCUUCAACGUGGAAACCGUGGAGUACAAGAACAUCAGCUUCACUGUGUGGGACGUGGGUGGCCAGGACAAGAUCCGGCCCCUGUGGCGCCACUACUUCCAGAACACACAAGGCCUGAUCUUCGUGGUGGACAGCAAUGACAGAGAGCGUGUGAACGAGGCCCGUGAGGAGCUCAUGAGGAUGCUGGCCGAGGACGAGCUCCGGGAUGCUGUCCUCCUGGUGUUCGCCAACAAGCAGGACCUCCCCAACGCCAUGAAUGCGGCUGAGAUCACAGACAAGCUGGGGCUGCACUCCCUACGCCACAGAAACUGGUACAUUCAGGCCACCUG